GUCUAUGGCCAUGCCACCCUGAACACACCCAAUCCCAUCUAAUCUCGGAAGCUAAGCAGGAUUGGGCCUGGUUAGUACUUGGAUGGGAGACCACCUAGGAAGACCAGAUGAUGUAGGAG
rnacentral:rRNA from 1 species